UUCAAAUGAAGAGGCUCUUUUUUUCCAAU
rnacentral:piRNA from 1 species